GCAGAACGGGACAGUAUGGACUUUUACCCAGAUAGCCGUCCCAUGGAGUCAUUCGUAUACCGAAGGACUGGUGAAAGACCGACUCCAUGGCGAUUCGACUAGAUACAUCGGAUCUGAGCGCUAUUCGGUGAAAAUGUGCACUCAGAUCCAGGCUGUCUGGGGAUACGUUAUACGAACUAUAUCCAUUCGGUAUUUUCCCAGUUAUGUAUUUUAAUGUAUUUUUGUUACUGUAUUUUAAAAUGGCGAUUGUCUCUACCCUGGGAGAUAAUUAGG